rnacentral:lncRNA from 1 species
AUUUCUUACGUGGUGUAUUUUUGACCUGUCUGAGUUUCUUUCCUUCUUGUGUCCUAUGCUAUUUUGCUUGCUAUUUGUUGGCUGUCCUUUGUCAGCCAUUCAGGAGUUAUAAAAUGGAAGUUAGUGUUUCUACUCAAAUGCUUUGUGGAUGGAACUGAUAGGGUUAGCAUUGAUUUUUGGCAGCUUCUUUCAAGAAGAGUUAAGGUGAUAAAUGUGUUUCCAUGGCUUUGGACUUGCUUUUGGCAUCUUGGGCUAUUUCCCUGAUGUGUUUACCUGCUUCUGCCACUGAUCCAAAUUGCAGAACUUCUCAUUCGUCCUAAGACCUCCAGACGGCAUCCACCAGGGAACUGACUCUAAAAGGAACCAGACCAACAUUUUCCAGCCCCUUCACUCUGUAGCUACCUCUAUGUGAGGAAAGGAGAGAAAACGUUCAGGACAUCGUCAUGCAAAGUUCCAGUAGCAGUGACGCCUACACGGAAGACUUGGAACUGCAGAGGCUGGGGUCACCUCAGUGACAUCUGAUGCUGUCCAACCAGAAGUUCGAUUUUUGUUUUGGGGUGGUGGGGUGAGGAAGCACACUGUAUACUGAAGGACUAAAAUAAUUUCUUGUCUAC